GCUGAUGGCUCUUUCAUGCUGAAUUAGAUCAUCAGAGAUUAGAUCAUCCAUUAAUCCUCAAGGCUUAGGGUGAUUAGCUGAUGAUCUGUAUUUACCCCUCAAAGACCAAGAAAUGCCACAAGAGGCUGCUUUUCCCAGUUACUUGCAAGGUCCCUGGGGAGGGAAGCACAGAGGUUCUGCCUUGCCUCCAAUGCAGAGUAGGAGCUGUUGCAUUCUCUCUGCUCUGGGUCCGCUUCCCUGCUGCCUUGGAGCUAGAGCACUGUGGCCCUUGCUCAUCUUUCCACAGAGGUUUUUUUGUGAACAUCUUCUCCAAGGGACAUCCUUUGGCCUCUGAAGAAGAGAGUGCAUCUUACUCCAUGCUUCCAGAAGCCAGUAGGGGCUCCUGGUACAGUGGGGAAUGGAAGGAGAAGGCAGCAUCAAAAAUGAGGUUUGCGAUUAACAGAAGUUGACUGUAUAAAAUAUCUGAUGCAGAACAGUAAGCAUGAAUCAGAGCUGACACCAAAGUCAGUUUUCCUUUUACCAAGAAGCUAGUACUUUAAGCAGUUGAAACAUGAUAAUUUUGCUGUUAAUUUCAACAGUGAGAAGAUUUAAGUGUAUAGGAAACCCUGUUUACUAGUUAGUUGAGGAGUCAGAGAAACUACAGAAAAAAUGUAAUUACUUUGAGGAAAGAAAAGGGAAAAAUGAGGAGUUGGGAAAACAUGAGUUUCAGUAAUUAGCACUCAGUAAAAAAUAAUACCAAAUUUCAGAAAGCUUUCUUUGUAUGUGAGAAACCUGGUGUAAGUGAGCAUUCUCAUACAGUGAACUGUACCCACACACAAUCUGUUAGGAUAUCAGACUCCUGCUCCCAAGUCCAAGGAGACACGCAGACCUGCCAUGGGGUUUGUGGUGGACCAUCGCUGGAUAAGGGGCCAACCCUAACACCCUUGCUCCUCCUGAACAACGUAAUGCAUGAUGAACAGCCCUGCUGGACUCACUGGGAAUUUCUCACAUCAUAGGAUGCUAUUCAGUGAGCAAGAUGAUUACAGUGUGAACUGCAGAAUAUAGCUUCCAAGCCUCUAACAUGCCUUGGAGCUGGGAAGGAGUCGCAAAGCUGUGGGCUUCCUGGGGAGUUUUAUAGGCAUUUGGGGGAUGUUUUGGAGAGGAACCUGCUGGAAGCUUAUAACAGCACACUGUGGAAAAGUGAGCUGAUGGGAUUGAUGAGCCAAGAUGAGCUAAUCACACUGAUUUACAAGUGAAGAGAGAAAGAAGACUUACCAGACUAGAGAUCAGUCUCAUCACUGAGUACCGUGAAUAUGGCACUAGCAAAGUCACUAACAUGUGGUUAGGAACAGCUGCCAAGGAAAUCAGACUCAUAUGUGUGGAGUCAAUAAAAGAUCAUUUGUUUUUAAAGAAUUAUGUGAU
rnacentral:lncRNA from 1 species